UUAUGGCGUCAGGAUGAACGGCUGCGGCGUGCCUAAUACAUGCAAGUCGAACGCAGUACUCGGUAGUGAGUGGCGAACGGGUGGAGUAACACGUAGGUAACUUACCUCUAAGACGAGGAGUAACGAACUGGAAACGGUACGCUAAAACUGGAUAGGAUCAUUGAGGCAUCUCGAAUGAUUUAAAGGGGCUUUCAAGCCACACUUAGAGAAAGGCCUGCGGCGCAUUAGCUAGUUGGUGGGGUAGAGGCCUACCAGGCGAUGAUGCGUAGCCGGACUGAGAGGUCGAACGGCCACAUUGGGACUGAGACACGGCCCAAACUCCUACGGGAGGCAGCAGUAGGGAAUUUUCGGCAAUGGGGGAAACCCUGACCGAGCAACGCCGCGUGAAUGAAAGACGUAUUUCGGUAUGUAAAGUUCUUUUAUUAAGGAAGAAUAUCACAGAUAGGAAAUGAUCUGUGAGUGACGGUACUUAAUGAAUAAGCCCCGGCUAACUAUGUGCCAGCCGCCGC
rnacentral:rRNA from 1 species